GACGAACGCUGGCGGCGUGCCUAAUACAUGCAAGUUGAGCGCUGAAGGUUGGUACUUGUACCAACUGGAUGAGCAGCGAACGGGUGAGUAACGCGUGGGGAAUCUGCCUUUGAGCGGGGGACAACAUUUGGAAACGAAUGCUAAUACCGCAUAAAAACUUUAAACACAAGUUUUAAGUUUGAAAGAUGCAAUUGCAUCACUCAAAGAUGAUCCCGCGUUGUAUUAGCUAGUUGGUGAGGUAAAGGCUCACCAAGGCGAUGAUACAUAGCCGACCUGAGAGGGUGAUCGGCCACAUUGGGACUGAGACACGGCCCAAACUCCUACGGGAGGCAGCAGUAGGGAAUCUUCGGCAAGAGACGAAAGUCUGACCGAGCAACGCCGCGGGAGUGAAGAAGGUUUUCGGAUCGUAAAACUCUGUUGGUAGAGAAGAACGUUGGUGAGAGUGGAAAGCUCAUCAAGUGACGGUAACUACCCAGAAGGGGACGGCUAACUACGUG
rnacentral:rRNA from 1 species